UGGGGAAUAUUGGACAAUGGGCGCAAGCCUGAUCCAGCAAUGCCGCGUGAGUGAUGAAGGCCUUAGGGUUGUAAAGCUCUUUUUACCAGGGACGAUAAUGACGGUACCUGGAGAAUAAGCCCCGGCAAACUUCGUGCCAGCAGCCGCGGUAAUACGAAGGGGGCUAGCGUUGUUCGGAAUUACUGGGCGUAAAGCGCACGUAGGCGGAUUGUUAAGUCAGAGGUGAAAUCCCGGAGCUCAACUUCGGAACUGCCUUUGAUACUGGCAAUCUAGAGUCCGGAAGAGGUUAGUGGAAUUCCCAGUGUAGAGGUGAAAUUCGUAGAUAUUGGGAAGAACACCAGUGGCGAAGGCGGCUAACUGGUCCGGUACUGACGCUGAGGUGCGAAAGCGUGGGGAGCAAACAGGAUUAGAUACCCUUGUAGUCCCUGAGCGGGCUGGCAAGGCGCAU
rnacentral:rRNA from 1 species